AAAAAAAAAACUAAAAUAUUUUGAUCACGGAUUUCGUUUUGAAUAAGAUGAGGGACAAAAUUAGUUUUGAUUUUUGAAAAAUUCAAAUAAUCCAGUUCAGAAUAAACCAUUCAUAAUCUGAAUUAUAUUUGCAUGUACUAGAUCUGAGUAUAUUAUACCGAAAUAUACUAAAACGCGAGUUCUUUUCCCUGCAUCUUCGUCAACAUGAUUCGACUCGUUUGAUAUGCCGCGCCAAUGAAAACGAUCUUAUCCACCUGUUGGUAGUAUUUAUCGUAAUACAAGUAUAUAAAUGCUUUCAUCCACUAGAUUCAAGAAUAUUAUUCGAAGAUAUACUAAAAUGCGCCCUCUGUGCAGUUUGCAUUAGAAAAUAUCUCUUUCGAUCCCCUUCAUUCUCAUUUAGGUGAUAGGACUGAUCGGUCUACAGAAGUUUUGAUUGUGUUAUGAGUGUUAGAUACUGAAUAAAAGCACUGAAAAGCAAAAUUUAAUUAGGAAUUAGGGAUAUAUGGAGUGUCUGAUUGGAACAUUUCAAGAAUAUGGAAAUUGUUCAUGAACAAUUGGGAGCUACGUUAUCAUUUGCUGAUGAAAAUGCAAAUCAAUAGAUAUCUAUCGAUAUGAGUGAGAUACAAUUUUGGAAUAAUUCUUCAGGACCAGAUCUCAAGUGAUAUUGGACAAAUCAUUCAAGAACAGAAAAAUAGAGCAACACAGAGGAAUCAAACCGCCAAGCCCAACUUGUUUUUGGUAUCAGGG